rnacentral:rRNA from 1 species
UACGUAGGUGGCGAGCGUUGUCCGGAUUUACUGGGCGUAAAGAGCGCGCAGGCGGUCGUGUAAGUCGAAUGUGAAAGCCCCCGGCUCAACUGGGGAGGGUCAUUCGAUACUGCUCGACUCGAAGGCAGGAGAGGGAAGCGGAAUUCCCGGUGUAGUGGUGAAAUUCGUAGAUAUCGGGAGGAACACCGGUGGCGAAGGCGGCGACCUGGGUCGAGACUGACGCUGAGGCGCGAAAGCGUGGGAGCAACAGG